AUGAAAUUGUCCUGCUGGGUAUGCGUUCUGAUAUUUUUUUAUUUCAGUCCUAGGCCAGCCAAAACAAUCAAGCCAUCUUUCAACUGUAGUUUUUUACCACACAAUGGAGAUCCCAAUGAGGUACUCAUUCCUACAAUAGAAAAACCUAAUAUCCAUAAAGAAGAGUCCACUUUGGCUUGUCAGACAUAUUCAUCCUGCCUCGAAGUAAGUCCUGACACCAAUAAUGGCACAUCAGCUGCACAGAAGGGCAAAGAGUGGUGGAAUAACCCAAUAAAUGAAGCAGAAUACAGUGGAGCUUUAGACAGUCAAUUAAAGCUGUCUCUGUCUGACCACAACCCCAGUGAGAGGGUAGAAAAUGGAGGCCUAAGUAACCAAACAAAGUCUAAAAUAUUCAGAAAGACACAUUUGAGUUCCUGUGACCUUCUACCAAGACUGGUUACAGGCGUUGAUGCUAAUCCAAUCAGGUCAGGAAGACCUCUAGAAGGGAGGAGUGUGACAGAGCUCAAAGUAAAUUCUGAAAGUGUGACAGGCCACAUGUCAUGCACUGAACGUGAGAUGGAGCCCCCAAAAAAUGGAACUGUGAAGGUGGAGAUGGACAGGAUGUUGCAUGCUGAGAAAAGACCAGCCAUUGAAAUGAAAGGACCUUUAUACCUGGGACUGACUGAGAACAAUAAUUUAAAGAGCAUCUCGUAUUUGGUAACCCCACGUAACAGGGAUAAAAACAGUGACUGUAUAAAUGGGGAAACAGAAAUAAAUGAAUGCAUUGUCAGUGCACGUGGAGCUGAACAUCCAUCAGGCAGUGACAAUAACGUAGCUUUAGCAGGACACAAUUCGAAGAUUUUACCAUCAGUAAUAAGUGGUGAACACAAGGAUCAAAUAGGAGCAUUGGUACAGUGUGAGCCGACCGCAGUUGACCUGCUUGACCCUAAUAACGCAGAGGACAGAGUUGAUGUGAGAGAGAUGAGGGCAAAGGCAGAUAUUGAUAUAGGCACUAAUGAUGUAAUGGAGGCAGAACAAUCACAAUGCUCUGCUGUGAAAGCAACAGAGAAACAAGAUGAUUAUAAAAAGGCCAGUGACUUGCAUGUAGGAAAGAAAGUACAGAGAGAGACUGGAAACAAUGGAGAUGAGCCAGUUAUUUUAGCUGAUAAUGAAAAUCAAAGUGCAACUACAGGUAAGUGUAAGUUGCUUGUUGCCAUGUUUAUUGUGAUUCUACAAAGCAUACAAAUAAUGCUGUUUCAAUAUUCACCACUAGAGUGA
rnacentral:lncRNA from 1 species